UGGGGAAUAUUGGACAAUGGGCGCAAGCCUGAUCCAGCCAUGCCGCGUGAGUGAUGAAGGUCUUCGGAUUGUAAAACUCUUUCGCCGGGGAAGAUAAUGACGGUACCCGGAGAAGAAGCUCCGGCUAACUUCGUGCCAGCAGCCGCGGUAAUACGAAGGGAGCUAGCGUUGUUCGGACUUACUGGGCGUAAAGCGCACGUCGGCGGAUUUUUAAGUCAGGGGGGAAAUCCCAAGGCUCAACCUUGGAAC
rnacentral:rRNA from 1 species